rnacentral:rRNA from 1 species
CAGUAGCGUAUAUUAAAGUUGUUGCAAUUAAAAUGCUCGUAGUUGAAGUUCGGAUGCAGCAGAGCUUGGAAACGCUGUUAUGGUGCAUCUUACUUUGAGAAACAUAGGGUGUUCCACGCAUGUUACAGCAUGAAUAUUCCAGCAUGGGAUAAUCUGGUACGACUUCCAAUCUGCCAUUUUGGUUCGUAGGUUGGAAGUAAUGAUUAAUAGGGACUGUCGGGGGCAUUGGUAUUUGACUGUCAGAGGUGAAAUUCUUAGAUUCGUUGAGGACCAACCACUGCGAAAGCAUUUGUCAAGGAUGUCUNCAUUA